rnacentral:rRNA from 1 species
AACGAACGCUGGCGGCGUGCCCAACACAUGCAAGUCGAACGGGAUUCGGAGCUUGCUCCGAUGAGAGUGGCGCACGGGUGAGUAACGCGUAGAUAAUCUGCCUGAUGAUCUGGGAUAACAGUUCGAAAGGACUGCUAAUACCGGAUAAGCCCACGGAGACCUUGGUCUUUGCGGGAAAAGGGGGGGGACCUUCGGGCCUUCCGUCAUCAGAUGAGUCUGCGUACCAUUAGCUAGUUGGUAGGGUAAAAGCCUAGCAAGGCGACGAUGGUUAGCUGGUCUGAGAGGAUGAUCAGCCACACUGAACUGAGACACGGUCCAGACUCCUACGGGAGGCAGCAGUGGGGAAUUUUGCGCAAUGGGGGAAACCUUGACGCAGCAACGCCGCGUGAGUGAUGAAGGCUCUUGGGUCGUAAAGCUCUGACAGAGGGAAAGAAGUGUAUGGUGGUUAAUACCCAUUGUACUUGACGGUACCCUCAAAGGAAGCACCGGCUAACUCCGUGCCAGCCGCCGCAGUAAUAC